GUAGGGUGCGAGCGUUAAUCGGAAUUACUGGGCGUAAAGCGUGCGCAGGCGGUUUUGUAAGCCAGAUGUGAAAUCCCCGGGCUUAACCUGGGAAUGGCAUUUGGGACUGCAAGGCUCGAGUGCGGCAGAGGAGACUGGAAUUCCUGGUGUAGCAGUGAAAUGCGUAGAUAUCAGGAGGAAUACCGAUGGCGAAGGCAGGUCUCUGGGCUGACACUGACGCUCAUGCACGAAAGCGUGGGGAGCAAACAGGAUUAGAUACCCUGGUAGUCCACGCCCUAAACGAUGUCGACUGGUUGUUGGGGGUUUGACACUCUCAGUAACGAAGCUAACGCGUGAAGUCGACCGCCUGGGGAGUACGGCCGCAAGGUUA
rnacentral:rRNA from 1 species